rnacentral:rRNA from 1 species
CCUACGGGCGGCUGCAGUGGGGAAUAUUGGACAAUGGGCGAAAGCCUGAUCCAGCCAUGCCGCGUGUGUGAAGAAGGCCUUCGGGUUGUAAAGCACUUUCAGUGGGGAAGAAAGCCUUGGGGCUAAUACCCUCGAGGAAGGACAUCACCCACAGAAGAAGCACCGGCUAACUCCGUGCCAGCAGCCGCGGUAAUACGGAGGGUGCGAGCGUUAAUCGGAAUUACUGGGCGUGAAGCGCGCGUAGGCGGUCUGAUAAGCCGGUUGUGAAAGCCCCGGGCUCAACCUGGGAACGGCAUCCGGAACUGUCAGGCUAGAGUGCAGGAGAGGAAGGUAGAAUUCCCGGUGUAGCGGUGAAAUGCGUAGAGAUCGGGAGGAAUACCAGUGGCGAAGGCGGCCUUCUGGACUGACACUGACGCUGAGGUGCGAAAGCGUGGGUAGCAAACAGGAUUAGAUACCCCAGUAGUC